UUCCACAUUGGAUACUGCGGUUUCUGGCCUGAGACAUGAUCAGUGCACCCUGAGCUGAGUGCUGUUUUCUUUUCCUCCCAGGUGAGGACGAUGUUUAAAUUUACUUGAAGGUCCUAUGAAGGGGAUGAAAAAUAAAUAACAGAGUGGGAACUUACCUACUAGAAAGAGAACAUGCUAACUCAAGCCCAAUGAGCCCUACUUGCUGCUCACCUCACCGCCAUGUGGCCUGCGCUUCUAGAAAAUCUCCCUAAACCCGGCUUUUCCUGGAUGUCUUCUUGACAGAACUCUGGGAGGCAGGAGCCUUCAGGAUGAGGCAUCGCAAAGAUGGCUCGUACCCAGACCGGUGACCUCCAACAGAGACACGCCAGGAAGGUGGAAGGGGCCGUGCGGCAGGAUCAUGUUCUGGACUGGAAAUGCAAAGACCUAAAAAUGAAUGAAAUACCGUUUUACACCUUGGAGGCCCCCAGUCCAGUCACUCUCAGAGGAACCUUUUCAAUGUUGCCAAAUGGACGCCCAUUCAGCUCCUCUUUCAGCCCACCUCCUCUCGGGACAGCUUAAUCUCUCUGUGGAAAAGGAGGAAAACGACAAACACGCCAACCUCCGAACCUGUUUGCGCAUCUGGGGAAGAUAGAGGCCCCUCUUCCAGGGCUGUGGCAGCUACACCUGGCGAGCUGACACAUCCUAACUGCUCAGCAAAGGUGAUGAUGACUGUUACCACAUCCUGUGCCUGCUUGUCGUUCCUGGGUGUCCCACAGCACCUCACAGACACCACUUGCUCGUGCAACCAUUGUCCUGAUAUGGUUUGCCUCCUCACUACCAGAGGGGGAGCUCCAUGAGGGCAGGGUUCAUAUUCCAUUCAUCUCUGUCCCCAGCCCCGGUGACCAGACCAGACCCUGGCAUGGAGCAGAAAUCAAGGAGCAUUUAUUGGCUGGAGGAAGGAGAAAACAACGGGCAGUUCAUUUUAAAAAUGCAGACCCUGAUGGUUCCCAGAAAUUCCAGUUGAUUCACAGUUUUUGACUGGAAUUGUAGUUUUCCCUGGAUUCAACAUUCAGCUGAACCCAAGGAGUGCCAAGGUGAGGCAUGUUAGGAUAAGGGAACCCUGGAACUCUGCCCAGAGGUAUCACCCAGGGAGUACUUUUCUUAAGAGGAGUAACAAAAUCCUCUUGGUGUGUCCAUGAGGACUUCACUGUCUGUGGCUGGACCAGGGCACUGAGCACUCACAAACUCAGCCCACAGCCAGAGUGCAAUGACUCUCAGAGACUCUUCUCUGGGGUCACAGAGCUUGGCUUCUUAUCUUGACCCCACUGUUCACCAGCUGUGUGAGCUGGGGCAAGAUAUCUGAGCUCUCCAGGCUUAGUUUCCUCACCUGUAAAAGUGAGGAUCCUAAUAAUUGUACUUACCUCAUAGGGUUAAUGUAAGGAUUUUAAUGAGAUAAUGCAUGUGAAAUCCAUUUAUUAAGGAGUCACAAUUCUUUGAGGUAUGAACAUGGUUUAACUUUUCCCCCAGCUGCUCCAGCUGUGCUCUAUGGAACUAUCCCCUCCCCCACCUUUUCUGGUAG
ensembl:lncRNA